rnacentral:rRNA from 1 species
UAAGGAAUAUUGGUCAAUGGGCGCAAGCCUGAUCCAGCCAUGCCGCGUGAGUGAUGAAGGCCCUAGGGUUGUAAAGCUCUUUCACCGGUGAAGAUAAUGACGGUAGCCGGAGAAGAAGCCCCGGCUAACUUCGUGCCAGCAGCCGCGGUAAUACGAAGGGGGCUAGCGUUGUUCGGAAUUACUGGGCGUAAAGCGCACGUAGGCGGAUUGUUAAGUGAGGGUGAAAUCCCAGGGCUCAACCCUGGAACUGCCUCUCAUACUGGCAAUCUCGAGUUUGGGAGAGGUGAGUGGAAUUCCGAGUGUAGAGGUGAAAUUCGUAGAUAUUCGGAGGAACACCAGUGGCGAAGGCGGCUCACUGGCCCAAAAACUGACGCUGAGGUGCGAAAGCGUGGGGAGCAAACAGGAUUAGAUACCC